rnacentral:rRNA from 1 species
UCCAGACUCCUACGGGAGGCAGCAGUGAGGAAUAUUGGUCAAUGGGCGCGAGCCUGAACCAGCCAAGUCGCGUGAGGGAUGACGGCCCUACGGGUUGUAAACCUCUUUUGUCGGGGAGCAAAUUCCGCCACGUGUGGCGGAGUCGAGAGUACCCGAAGAAAAAGCAUCGGCUAACUCCGUGCCAGCAGCCGCGGUAAUACGGAGGAUGCGAGCGUUAUCCGGAUUUAUUGGGUUUAAAGGGUGCGUAGGCGGAUUUGUAAGUCAGCGGUAAAAAUGCGGUGCUCAACGCCGUAUCGCCGUUGAAACUGCAGGUCUUGAGUGAGCGAGAAGUAUGCGGAAUGCGUGGUGUAGCGGUGAAAUGCAUAGAUAUCACGCAGAACUCCGAUUGCGAAGGCAGCAUACCGGCGCUCAACUGACGCUGAGGCACGAAAGCGUGGGGAUCGAACAGGAUUAGAUACCCUAGUA